CCACUGCAGACGAACUUUAGACGCAUGUGACCACUUGUGCAUCUGGCUUACGAUGUAAGCAAUGAAGCCAAAGACAACACCGAGGAGGGAGAAAAUGGAGAAGACGAGGUAUUCCCUAAACCUGUUAUUGAAACCCUAAGCAUGGAACUGGCCAGAAAAUGCUCCAAAC